GUUUCCCACCAACCACUGCCUGAAAAUGAGCAUCCACCUCCCCCAGAGCAAUGACCCCUCCACCAGAAUAUGCCACCCCAAAAAGGGUCCUACUCAGUCCCAGUGAUAGUACAGCUCAGCUACUCCUCCCUCUGCUCACCCACAAAGCCAAUUCUAGAUGUGCCCAGUGCUGACAGGGAGCACGACCCAGGGGGAAUGCCUAGGUUCCCUCCCACCAUUCAGACAGCUAAUCUCAACUACUUAUCUCUCAUCCAGAGUCUACAUUCUAGACUAGAAAGGCCUAAGUGUUGGGCUUGGGGGACGGCCUUGCACAGAUUAAAUGCAAGAUACACAUUCUUCCUUUCAACUGGCCCCCUGGUGCUGGCAGGAACCCUGGAUGGAGGAAGGCUGGUGACUGGGUACAGAGAACCCUAUUGGGAGUUCUGGCUCCCCACCGUCCACCAUUACUCCUGCAGGCUCUAAGACCAGCACCCACCUUCUCUGGGCCUUUAUUUUUGCUUCCCUCUCAGUAAGAGGGAGGGAGGGUGAGGACUGAGGGAGGGAGGGUUAGCUGCUUUCUAGUCCUCCACUUAAAGGAUUUCUUAAAAUGCACGAGUCUGGCAGAGGUAAGCCACAAAGUCACUAACACUUUAGCAAGAAUGAGUUGUCUUGGGAGGCGAACAAUUUAGAAAAGGUGGAGGUGGUGGAAAGCAAAGUUAAGUGAGCAUGGUACUUGGAAAGUAACUCAGAGAUGACCCUACAUUUUUGAAUUCUGUGUUGAAGGCUGGAAGGCGUGGAUCCCUGGGAAGAGAUGGGAAGCCAGAGAUCUUUCAGUCCCCCUAGCACCCCGGAGUCCCAAAGACACUGCUCUGUCCCAGUACUUAAGCACAAUUCUACUGACUAUCUCAUCCAACAUACCCCAGACCCGCAACAUCAUGUCCCCAACACAGUAACAUUUACACUGUCAUCUCCACUCUCCGCAUUUUAUUUAGUCUUCUCUGGCCUGCAGUUCCCGCGUGCAAAUGGCCUUCCUCCAUGUCGUCGUCCGGCUUCAGAAAAUUCCCCAUCCUUCAAAAGCCCUGAUGAAGCGGCCCCCAAAAGGGCCAGCUCAGAUCCCACCCCAGGGACCAGGAAAUCAGACUCCUCUCCCUGAGCCCCUUAAAACUUUAUCCACACCUUUUCCCCAGCACUUGGCAUAUCCUAUCUUGGAUCAGGUUUGGCUCCUUUGGCUCCUCGGUUGACUGAGCGCUCCCUGAGAGCAGGAACUGGGCCUCCUCCGCCUCUCUAACCCAACAACCCAGCAGGGCGCCUGGCACACAGUGGGUGCUCGAGAAAUGCUGGAAGAAGGGGAACGCGGAGUCGGGAGCCAUCUAUCUCAAUUACGGCUCGGCCUCUGGGAAUAACACUGGAUUAAAAGGCAGUUCAAGGGGCCGGCCCCGUGGCCGAGAGAUUAAGUUCACGCACUCCGCUUCGGCAGCCCAGAGUUUCGCUGGUUCGGAUCCUGGGUGUGGACAUGGCACCGCUCACCAAGCCAUGCUGAGGGGGCACCCUGCAUGCCACAUCUAGAAGGACCCACAACUAAAAAUACACAACUAUGUACUGGGGGAUUUUGGGAGAAAAAUGAAAAAUAAAAUAAAAUAAAAUAAAGACAGUUCAAGGCAUGCCAAGAGGAAUUGUGAUUAUCUGCUCUAGGAGCAUUGUCCACACCAUGAAUUAUUAUGCACCCUGGACCUGUCUCUUUCGAGUCACUGACAAGUGGAGGAGACACCUAGUUUAAAACUCUAGCUUAGCCUCUGACCAGUGAAAACAUGUAGACCAUGUCAAAUUAGC
rnacentral:lncRNA from 1 species